rnacentral:rRNA from 2 species
GUGACCUCAAAUCAGGUAGGAUUACCCGCUGAACUUAAGCAUAUCAAUAAGCGGAGGAAAAGAAACUAACAAGGAUUCCCCUAGUAACUGCGAGUGAAGCGGGAAAAGCUCAAAUUUAAAAUCUGGCAGUCUUUGGCUGUCCGAGUUGUAAUCUAGAGAAGUGCUAUCCGCGCUGGACCGUGUACAAGUCUCCUGGAAUGGAGCGUCAUAGAGGGUGAGAAUCCCGUCUUUGACACGGACUGCCAGGGCUUUGUGAUGUGCUCUCAAAGAGUCGAGUUGUUUGGGAAUGCAGCUCAAAAUGGGUGGUAAAUUCCAUCUAAAGCUAAAUAUUGGCGAGAGACCGAUAGCGAACAAGUACCGUGAGGGAAAGAUGAAAAGAACUUUGGAAAGAGAGUUAAACAGUACGUGAAAUUGCUGAAAGGGAAACGCUUGAAGUCAGUCGCGUUGUCCAGGGAUCAACCUUGCUUUUGCUUGGUGCACUUUCUGGUUGACGGGUCAGCAUCAAUUUUGACCAUUGGAAAAAGAUUGGGGGAAUGUGGCAUCUUAGGAUGUGUUAUAGCCCUUGGUUGCAUGCAAUGGUUGGGAUUGAGGAACUCAGCACGCCGCAAGGCCGGGUUUUCAACCACGUACGUGCUUAGGAUGCUGGCAUAAUGGCUUUAAUCGACCCGU